rnacentral:rRNA from 1 species
AGGACGAACGCUGGCGGCGUGCCUAAUACAUGCAAGUAGAACGCUGAAGACUUAGCUUGCUAAAGUGGAAGAGUUGCGAACGGGUGAGUAACGCGUAGGUAACCUGCCUACUAGCGGGGGAUAACUAUUGGAAACGAUAGCUAAUACCGCAUAACAGCAUUUAACACAUGUUAGAUGCUUGAAAGGAGCAAUUGCUUCACUAGUAGAUGGACCUGCGUUGUAUUAGCUAGUUGGUGAGGUAACGGCUCACCAAGGCGACGAUACAUAGCCGACCUGAGAGGGUGAUCGGCCACACUGGGACUGAGACACGGCCCAGACUCCUACGGGAGGCAGCAGUAGGGAAUCUUCGGCAAUGGGGGCAACCCUGACCGAGCAACGCCGCGUGAGUGAAGAAGGUUUUCGGAUCGUAAAGCUCUGUUGUAAGAGAAGAACGUGUGUGAGAGUGGAAAGUUCACACAGUGACGGUAACUUACCAGAAAGGGACGGCUAACUACGUGCCAGCCGCUGC